GGGCAAUCGUGGGCGCCCCUCCCCCAGCCUUGCUGCCACCUUGCAGUUUGAUCUCAGACUGCUGUGCUAGCAAUCAGCGAGACUCCAUGGGCGUAGGACCCUCCAAGCCAGGUGUGGGAUAUAAUCUCCUAGUGUGCCGUUUUUUAAGCCCAUCGGAAAAGUGCAGUAUUAGGGUGGGAGUGACCCGAUUUUCCAGGUGCUGUCUGUCACCCCUUUCUUUGACUAGGAAAGGGAACUCCCUGACCCCUUGUGUUUCCCGAGUGAGGCAAUGCCUCGCCCCACUUCGGCUCACACAUGGUGCACUGCACCCACUGUCCUGCGCCCACUGUCUGGCACUCCCUAGUGAGAUGAACCCAGUACCUCAGAUGGAAAUGCAGAAAUCACCGUCUUCUGCGUCGCUCACGCUGGGAGCUGUAGACUGGAGCUAUUCCUAUUUGGCCAUCUUGGCUCCACCCUGGUCGGAUCUGGUUUUUUAGGGCUGAAAGCAUAUACAGUUUUGGAGGCCCUCUGUAGCUUCUCAGGAAUGCACCUGAUGUCUUCAAGAUGAGGCAAGCAUUCCUUCCGCUUUCUUCCAGUCAGCUUUUGAAACCACCAUUGCAAGAUUUUACUGCAGUAAGAGAAAAUGCCAUCUUGAUGGAGGCUUAGCAGUGUCUCAGAAGGGAGAAGUCAGAAGUGGGAUAUUUACAGGGUUUCAGAGUCUGCGAUCAAUUGGUUAAAGGCAAGGUCAAGGUGG
rnacentral:lncRNA from 10 species